rnacentral:rRNA from 1 species
GAUGAACGCUGGCGGCGUGCUUAGCACAUGCAAGUCGAACGGAAAGGCCCAAGCUUGCUUGGGUACUCGAGUGGCGAACGGGUGAGUAACACGUGGGUGAUCUGCCCUGCACUUCGGGAUAAGCCUGGGAAACUGGGUCUAAUACCGGAUAGGACGAUGGUUUGGAUGCCAUUGUGGAAAGUUUUUUCGGUGUGGGAUGAGCUCGCGGCCUAUCAGCUUGUUGGUGGGGUAAUGGCCUACCAAGGCGUCGACGGGUAGCCGGCCUGAGAGGGUGUACGGCCACAUUGGGACUGAGAUACGGCCCAGACUCCUACGGGAGGCAGCAGUGGGGAAUAUUGCACAAUGGGCGCAAGCCUGAUGCAGCGACGCCGCGUGGGGGAUGACGGCCUUCGGGUUGUAAACUCCUUUCGCUAGGGACGAAGCGUUUUUGUGACGGUACCUGGAGAAGAAGCACCGGCUAACUACGUG